GUCCCAACGAAUAAUACCGAGAAAUCAGCCAUAUCAAGCGGCACAGAUUGAGCAUGCGUUGAAAGCAUGGGCAUUUCCUGGAAGUAUUUCUGUCGUCUGCAGCAGGAGCUCUACGGUUCACCUUCCAGUUCUCCACGAGAUACGUCUUUACUUUAACAAAACACUACAACCUCUGA